rnacentral:rRNA from 1 species
CCCCAGCGCCCCUAGUGGGAAUCACGAUUAUUGGGUCUAAAGCGUUCGUAGCAGGUUCUGUGAAUCCUUUGUGAAAUCGGCAAGCUUAACUUGUCGGCGUGCAGGGGACACUGCAGGACUCGAGACCGGGAGAGGCUAAAAGUAUUCCUUGGGUACCGGUAAAAUGGGUUAAUCCAGGGAGGACUACCAAUGGCGAAGGCAUUUGGCCAGAACGGUUCUGACUGUGAGGAACGAAAGCUAGGGGAGCAAAACGGAUUAGAUAGAGAUUUUUGCCAAAAAUCUCGUAAAAAGCACUUAAGUGCAAUACUCACUUCGUGAGAUUGCACGAACUAAAUUCACUUUUGCAAUAAAAAAUUACUGUGGAUUUAAAGUGUUAAUGGCAGAAUAUCUCCUAAUUACCCGAGUAGUCCUAGCUGUAAACGCUGUGAGCAAGGUAUUGCGCACCCCACGAGGAUGCGCAGUGUCGAAGAGAAGUCGCUAAGCUCACCACCAGGGAAGUACGGUCGCAAGGCUGAAACUUUAAGGAAUUGGCGGGGGAGCACCACAAGGGGUGCGGCGUGCGGUUCAAUCUAACUCAACGCAGAGAACCUCACUAGAGCCGACGGCAGAAUGAAGGUCAUGCUGAAGACAUUACCUGACAAGCCGAGAGGUAGUGCAUGGCCGUCGUCAGCUCGUGCUGUGAAGUGUCCAGUUAAGUCUGGCAACGAGCGAGACCUGUACCCUCUAUUGCUAACAACAUCUUCGGAUGGAUUGAGCACUUUGAGGGGACUGCCCUGGAAACAGGGAGGAAGGUGCAGGCUACGGUAGGUCUGUAUGCUCCGAAUGCUCUAGGCUACACGCGCGCAACAAUGAUAGAGACAAUGGGAUGCCACUCCGAGAGGAGGAGCUAAACCUCUAAACCCUAUCCUAGUUCAGAUCGAGGCUUGUAACUCAGCCUCGUGACGCUGGAAUCCCUAGUAAUCGGAUAUCAUCAUUGUCCGGUGAAUAUGUCCCUGCUCCU